rnacentral:rRNA from 1 species
GUGCCUAAUACAUGCAAGUCGAGCGAACGGACGAGAAGCUUGCUUCUCUGAUGUUAGCGGCGGACGGGUGAGUAACACGUGGAUAACCUACCUAUAAGACUGGGAUAACUUCGGGAAACCGGAGCUAAUACCGGAUAAUAUUUUGAACCGCAUGGUUCAAAAGUGAAAGACGGUCUUGCUGCUCACUUAUAGAUGGAUCCGCGCUGCAUUAGCUAGUUGGUAAGGUAACGGCUUACCAAGGCAACGAUGCAUAGCCGACCUGAGAGGGUGAUCGGCCACACUGGAACUGAGACACGGUCCAGACUCCUACGGGAGGCAGCAGUAGGGAAUCUUCCGCAAUGGGCGAAAGCCUGACGGAGCAACGCCGCGUGAGUGAUGAAGGUCUUCGGAUCGUAAAACUCUGUUAUUAGGGAAGAACAUAUGUGUAAGUAACUGUGCACAUCUUGACGGUACCUAAUCAGAAAGCCACGGCUAACUACGUGCCAGCAGCCGCGGUAAUACGUAGGUGGCAAGCGUUAUCCGGAAUUAUUGGGCGUAAAGCGCGCGUAGGCGGUUUUUUAAGUCUGAUGUGAAAGCCCCGGCUCAACCGUGGAGGGUCAUUGGAAACUGGAACUGAGUGCAGAAGAGGAAAGUGGAAUUCCAUGUGUAGCGGUAAUGCGCAGAGAUAUGGAGGACACCAGUGGCGAAGGCGACUUUCUGGUCUG